ACACAAUUCUCCGAGACAGAAUUUCCAUUUUUCGACCUCUUUCAUUUUUAUUUUGGAAUCCAAAUUUUUAAUGCCGACGCAUUUCAAAUUUUGGAAUUGGAAAGAAAAACAUUGUUUUUAGAGGAAUAGAAUGAAAUUGUUUGUGU
ensembl:ncRNA K01A6.18 ncRNA